CCCUUAGACGUUCUGGGCCGCACGCGCGCUACACUGACCAGUGCAACAAGCAUCCGUCCUUGGCCGACAGGCUCGGGCAAUCUUUGAACGCUGGUCGUGAUGGGGAUAGACUUUUGCAAUUUUUGGUCUUCAACGAGGAAUUCCUAGUAAACGCAAGUCAUCAACUUGCAUUGAUUACGUCCCUGCCCUUUGUACACACCGCCCGUCGCACCUACCGAUUGAAUGGUCCGGUGAAGCCUCCGGAUUGGCGCGCACCUCGGUGCCGCCGAGAAGUUGGCUAAACCUUACCAUUUAGAGGAAGGUGAAGCCGUAACA
rnacentral:rRNA from 1 species